UCCUGGCUUAGGACGAACGCUGGCGGCGUGCCUAACACAUGCAAGUCGAGCGAGGAGAUCCUCGGGAUGAUCCUAGCGGCGGACGGGUGAGUAACACGUGGGCAACCUGCCUCAUAGAGAGGAAUAGCCUUCCGAAAGGGAGAUUAAUACCUCAUAACAUUGCAGUUUCGCAUGGAACAGCAAUUAAAGGAGCAAUCCGCUAUGAGAUGGGCCCGCGGCGCAUUAGCUAGUUGGUGAGGUAACGGCUCACCAAGGCGACGAUGCGUAGCCGACCUGAGAGGGUGAUCGGCCACAUUGGGACUGAGACACGGCCCAGACUCCUACGGGAGGCAGCAGUGGGGAAUAUUGCACAAUGGGGGAAACCCUGAUGCCAGCAACGCCGCGUGAGUGAUGACGGCCUUCGGGUUGUAAAGCUCUGUCUUCAGGGACGAUAAUGACGGUACCUGAGGAGGAAGCCACGGCUAACUACGUGCCAGCCGCCGC
rnacentral:rRNA from 1 species